GACGAACGCUGGCGGCGUGCUUAACACAUGCAAGUCGAACGGAAAGGCCCCGCUUUUGUGGGGUGCUCGAGUGGCGAACGGGUGAGUAACACGUGAGUAACCUGCCCUUGACUUUGGGAUAACUUCAGGAAACUGGGGCUAAUACCGGAUAGGAGCUCCUGCUGCAUGGUGGGGGUUGGAAAGUUUCGGCGGUUGGGGAUGGACUCGCGGCUUAUCAGCUUGUUGGUGGGGUAGUGGCUUACCAAGGCUUUGACGGGUAGCCGGCCUGAGAGGGUGACCGGCCACAUUGGGACUGAGAUACGGCCCAGACUCCUACGGGAGGCAGCAGUGGGGAAUAUUGAACAAUGGGCGGAAGCCUGAUGCAGCAACGCCGCGUGCGGGAUGACGGCCUUCGGGUUGUAAACCGCUUUCGCCUGUGACGAAGCGUGAGUGACGGUAAUGGGUAAAGAAGCAACGGCUAACUACGUG
rnacentral:rRNA from 1 species